rnacentral:lncRNA from 1 species
AGACACUUCUCUUUUCUAUGGGAAUGUCACAGAAUCUGUGGCCAUCUUGAACCUGCCUCAGAGGCCAUGACAUCACGAAUUCUGUUAAAGACAUGACCAUCUCAUUUCCUGCCAGGUCUGGACCCUCAAUUCCUUCACUUGAAUGUGAGUCAGCCUCAUGAGGACAGUUGCAUUUGCCUCCCGCCUAUUCUCAUGCCUAUGAUCACUCCUUUCACAACUAUUAACUCAUCUCACACAGCCUCUCUGCAUAGUACAAUUCUGAAAUAAAAUUUGAUUGUGUUACAUUA